UAUUGUUUUCAAUUCUGGGCACCAUGUAAUAGCAAAGAUAUUGUCGAGCUUGAAAGGGUUCAGAGAAGAUUUACGAGGAUGUUGCCAGGACUAGAGGGUGUGAGCUACAGGGAGAGCUUGAGUAGGCUGGGUCUCUAUUCCUUGGAGUGCAG